rnacentral:misc_RNA from 1 species
GAUGAAGAACGCAGCGAAAUGCGAUAAUUAAUGUGAAUUGCAGAAUUCCGUGAAUCAUCGAGUCUUUGAACGCACAUUGCGCCUCAUGGCAUUCCGUGAGGCAUGCCCAUCUCAGCGUUAGAAAAUAUUCUCAAAUUUUAGUUUUGUGCUAAAAUUUGGAUCAUGUCAAAGAAGCUAUUACUAUUAUUGUGAUCGCUCUUUGGAAAUUGAUAGGUCUUUGAGUUGCUACUGAGAGAACGUGAUGAAUCUUUCUUCGUUCUAUUGUAAUUCACUCUGGUAGUCCUAAAACUUGUAUGCCUGUGGCAUAUCUUGUAAUUUGACCUGAGAUUGGGUAGGGAUACCCACUGAACUUAAGCAUAUCAAUAAGCGGAGGA